CUCCUUCGCAGUGGCAGCCGUUUCCGCAUCCGAAAGACAGUUUACGCUUUUGGAAGGAGGCAGCAAACGCGAUUGAAGCGGGUUUGAGCCCAGCAAAUGCCCAAAGAGGCUCCACAUAAGCCCUUCUCCAAACAUAUGUUCACACCGCACUUCGAGGCUAUGGAACUGGGAUCGCCAGCGCCACCGUCAAAAGUCCAAGUCUUGGGGCCAACGUAAAAGGCGGGAUUUCUGAGGUGUGUAUCUAGAAUAUGCUCAGCCAUCUUUCGAGGAGGGGGUAACACUCAGGACCCAAGGUCAACUAACUAACGAAAGCUGGAUGCAGAUAUGGCUCCUUGGCCAGGCGCUGAAGCCCACCUCGGGCUUCGAAGCUGAGGAUCACACUGGGGUACGCAGGCGUUGGCUGGAGGGAGGGG
rnacentral:lncRNA from 1 species